AUACCUUUCUCGGCCUUUUGGCUAAGAUCAAGUGUAGUAUCUGUUCUUAUCAGUUUAAUAUCUGAUAUGUGGACCAUCGGUUCACACGAUAUUAAAUUAAUUUUUUGAGGGGGAAGAUCCAUCUCAGUGGCUUGCUACUGGGGUCUUCGAGUGUCGCCCAUGCGUUGCACUAUUGCAAGGGCCUGGCGCACCCCAC
rnacentral:snRNA from 1 species